rnacentral:lncRNA from 1 species
CAUCCUAUCAGCUGCUCUCUCUGCUCACAUCUGCUGUGUGUUUCCUCAGCGGCUCGUCCUGCGUCUCUGUGUCUGGCUCCUAAAGCAGCCAUCAGCUCUUCUUCCUCCUCUCUGAGGAAGAGCUCCAGCUCCACGCUGCCCUCCUCACCCUCCUCCAGGAACUACAGCCCAGCGCCCGGCGCAAAGAGGACUCCUGCUGCAAACACUGAAGACACUCAGAGCACUAAAGCAAAGACGAGCUGCUGCAGGAAAGCACUGGAGAUCAAACCAAAGGAAACAAGUGCAGCAAAAACAGAUCUCUCUGUCCGGAAGGACUGGGUCAGCUGAAUCCGCAGUCAAAGCAUUCGUCCAGAAGCCCUCGCUCCGGGACGCCCCGAAACACAAGAGUCCCAUCAAAUCCCCCAGUCAAUACUUCCAGAUCUGUUACUGAAGAGCCGGCUCUCACACAUUAGUGAUCACUUUCUGGAGAACUGAAGAAGUGCAGAUGCACACCAGAACACGGGCUCGCUGCAGGAAGCCUUGCUAUGGACGCAGUGUAUUUUAGUUAAAAACGUCUUAAUGCUGGGUUUGUUCUUAGUUGUAUUUGGUGCCGA